GGGCAUGUAGCUCAGUAGUAGAGCACUUGCCUCUAUGUGCAAGGCCCUGGGUUCAAUUCCCAGAGCUCCA
rnacentral:tRNA from 1 species